GAGAACUAGAGGUGAGGGGGUGCAAGGACAAAUAAAACAAGAGGAUUCAAAUCUCAGGGAGCUCAGAAGAGGCUUUUAAAACAUCAAAGCGCCCUGAAGAGUCCAGAGCCGACCCAUGCCCUCACCUCCCAAUUUCCAUACUGUUCUGCCAGCAGCUUCUGGAUUUUACGCCUCCCUGACAGCCUGGGAGCUCUCGAAUAGGUCUCUUGGGAAGUGGAUUUGGCUCACCUGAUAGAGCAUCCGCCUACCACAUGGGAGGUCCAGGAUUCAAACCCAGGGCCUCCUGACCCGUGUGGAGCUGGCCCACGUGCAAGGAAUGAGCCCCAUAAGGAGAGCUGCCCUGCCUGAAAAAAGUGCAGCCUGCCCAGGAGUGGCACCGCACACGUGGAGAGCUGAUGCAGCAAGAUGAUGCAACAAAAAGAGACACAGU
rnacentral:lncRNA from 1 species